rnacentral:rRNA from 1 species
GAUGAACGCUAGCGGCAGGCCUAAUACAUGCAAGUCAAGGGGGCAGCAAUGUCACCGGCGUACGGGUGCGUAACGCGUACAGAACGUGCCCUUGGGUGGGGGAUAGCAUUGGGAAACUGGUGGUAAGACCCCAUGGUGUUGGACUUUGGCAUCAAAGACCAACUAAAGGCAACGCCCAAGGAUCGCUGUGCGUCUGAUUAGGUAGUUGGUAGGGUAACGGCCUACCAAGCCUACGAUCAGUAGGGGGUGUGAGAGCAUGACCCCCCACAUGGGUACUGAGACACGGACCCAACUCCUACGGGAGGCAGCAGUAAGGAAUAUUGGACAAUGGACGGAAGUCUGAUCCAGCCAUGCCGCGUGAAGGAAGAAGGCGCUCAGCGUUGUAAACUUCUUUUGGACGGGGACAAACCUGUGGAUUUAUCCGCAGCUGAGGGUACCGUCAGAAUAAGCACCGGCUAACUCCGUG